GACUACACGAGUAUCUAAUCCCAUUUGCUACCCUGGCUUUCGUUCCUCAGCGUCAAUUACGGCCCAGUAAAGCGCUUACGCCACCGAUGUUCCUCCUGAUAUCUAAGCAUUUCACCGCUACACCAGGAAUUCCCUUUACCUCUACCGCAUUCCAGCUUGCAAGUAUCAAGUGCCAUACACAGGUUGAGCCUGCGCCUUUAACACCUGACUUUACAUGCCGCCUACGAACUCUUUACGCCCAAUGAUUCCGGACAACGCUUGCACCCUCCGUAUUACCGCGGCUGCUGGCACGUAGUUAGCCGGGGCUUCUUGGUCAGGUACUGUCAUUUUCUUCCCUGCUGAUAGAGCUUUACAUACCGAAAUACUUCUUCACUCACGCGGCGUCGCUGCAUCAGGGUUUCCCCCAUUGUGCAAUAUCCCCCACUGCUGCCCCCCGUAGG
rnacentral:rRNA from 1 species